rnacentral:rRNA from 1 species
AUUGAACGCUGGCGGCAGGCCUAACACAUGCAAGUCGAACGAGUGGCGGACGGGUGAGUAAUGUCUGGGAAACUGCCUGAUGGAGGGGGAUAACUACUGGAAACGGUAGCUAAUACCGCAUACCAUCGUAUGUGCCCAGGUGGCAUUAGCUAGUAGGUGGGGUAAAGGCUCACCUAGGCGACGAUCCCUAGCUGGUCUGAGAGGAUGACCGGACACACUGGAACUGAGACACGGUACAGACGCCUACGGGAGGCAGAAGUGGGGAAUAUUGGGCAAUGGGCGAAAGGCUGAUGAAGCAAUGCCGCGUGAGUGAAGAAGGCGUUCGGAUUGUAAAAUACUGUCGUCGGGGAGGCGGUACCUGAAGAGGAAGCCACGGCUAACUCCGGGCCAGCAGCCGCGGUAAUAC